ensembl:lncRNA
UGCAAGUGAUCGUACUGAAAAUAACCGUAGUAACAAUAAUGACAAUAAUGACAGUGAUGACAGUAAUGGCAGUAAUGGCAGUAAUAACAGUAAUGGCAGUAAUAAUAAAAAUGAUUCGAAUAAACCUAGUAAUAAUGUCCAACAAUCAUAUUGUUUUCCCUCCACAAAACAAAAAAUAAAAAAGGAAAAUAUUUUAUUUGUUUUUGGUAAAGAGUUUGAUUAUAUUAAUAACUUUUUAUUUUUAUAUAAAUUACAUUCUAUUAUUAAUAAUUCUAUAAUAGAUUUAAGAAGAAUAUUUUUCACGUUUGAAGACUUAAAUAGUUAUAUAAAUAAUUUUGUUACAUUACAUUAUUUAUGUGUAUAUAAACACUUAAAUAGUAUAUGCGAACAUGUAAAAAAACAUAUACAUAAUUAUAAACCUAUUUCUUUUCAUUUAUCACGUUUUAUUCAUAUAAAAUAUCAAAAACAUUAUUCCAAUUACAAUAACAAAAAUAACCAACUCAGUUAUUACUACUGUUACAAUAAUGAGAAUGUAAAAAAGAAUGGAGAGGAUAAUUUUCAAGGACAAUGUAUGUAUGCCAACGAAGCUGACGCUUUAAACAAUUGCAAGUCAAAAAAAGUAAAUAAAAUAAAAAUUUAUAAUGAAAAAGAAAGGGAUAAAGGAGAAAAUAAAACAGGAAAUAAAAGUGUAAAUUUAGUUUACAGUGAUAAAAAACACUAUAAGACCACAAAAUUAAAAGAGACAGAAAUUUUAUUAGAUACAAACGCAUUGAAUUAUGCUAACAAACUAAAUAAAAUAAAAUUAUGUUUAAAAAAAAAAAAAAAAUUAUAUACACAUAUUUUUAAAAAAUAUGUUAAGUUAUAUAUUUUUUACAAAAAAUUUCCCAAUAGUGUUAAAACAAAACUUACAAAAUUUUAUUGUAUGUAGUUUAUAUUUUAUAAAAGAAAAACUGCAAAAAAAAAAUGCUUCGAUGUUGUUCGGUACCAUUCUUUUAAAUAUAUAUUUAAAAAAAAAAAUCAUAAACAAUAAUUUAUUUUUAUUUUCAGAAAAUGUAACAAAUAUUAGUCACUGUUCAACCAAUUUUUUUUCAAGUAGUAAUAAAAAGGAUCAAUAUGUUUUCAUUUUAGAUUAUUUUUUUUUUCUUCUUUUUUUCUUUUAUCCCAAACCAAAAAAGGCAUCUUACAAAAAACAGAUAAUAAAGAAUUAUUUAAACAUCCUGAAAAAAAGAUUGACUAACGAGGGAAUAGUAAAAAAAAGCAGAAAGAUUCAGGCGUUACAAUUGUUUUGUUUUUAUUCUGGAAAUGUUAAUAACACAGAUGCAAGUAUAGACAUAAAUAAUCAAUCAGUAGGUAACCCCUCUAAGGAUAUAAUAGUUAACAAAGAAAAAAUAUAUCCCAAGUUAUUUCUAAAUGAUAGCAACAGUAACAAUCACAAUUAUAAUAAUGUAUUAAAAAAUAAUGAAGAAACUUAUAUGAACACAUUUUCAGAAAAGCAAAAAAAAAUUUUGGAAACAUGUGAAUAUUUUGAUUUUAAAGAUUUUAGUAACUUAGGUCUAUUCGAUUAUAUAAAAAAUAAAAAAUCAUUAUUCAACAAAAAAAAUGACGCUAAAAAAAGUGACGCUAAAAAAAUGUUCGCUAAUGAAAUUUGUUUAUUAAAUAAGUUUGUUUUUAAUUGUUUAUUUUCUUUUAGCCUACUACCUAAUUUUUAUGAAAAUCUUAGGAUUUAUAUAAAGCAAUAUUUACAUAAACAGAAAGAUGAUUUUAUUUGUUUAUUUCAAAAAAGUUUAAAAGAAAAAAAAAAAAAAAAAAAUAUUAAUAAGACUAUUUGCAAGGUUAUUAAAUGUAAUAACGAUAAGGAAAAAAACGAGUUUAAACAAAAUACAAUAAUGGAAGAUUUAAAAAAAAAAAUAAAAAAUAAAAAACAAAUAUGUGAAAAAGCGCUUAUAUCAUGGAAUACAAAAAAAAAGAUAAAGAUAAAGGAUAUUUUAAUAUUUUUCUUCGAAAACUAUUAUUACAACAAUUAGAAAAAAAUGUAUAUAUACAUAUAUACCUUUACAUAUAUACAUUUACAUAUAUACAUUUAUAUAUAUACAUAUAUACAUAUACAUAUAUGUAUAUAAUAACUUGAAUCAAAGCGAACAAAAAAGAAAGUAGUAACUUGACUGUAACAUAAAAUUCGAUCAUGUUACAAUGACACGAAAUGAAAAAACUUAAAACAUACAUAUAUGUAUAAAUAAUGUUGCAACAUCAACAGUAAUGUGCUUUAAUUUAUCAAUAUACGUGUCAAUCAUUUUUAAAUAAAACAAAUAUAUAUGAUUAAUGAUACA